GGGGGCCUUAAAUCUUGCAUAACUUUACGGGUAUAAAGAGGGGUGAUAAUGUGAAGAAACCCGACUCCUUGUUGCAGAAAUUAUUUUAAAAAAACAUCUAGAGGGUUAUAAUUUUAAAAUGGCAAUAUUUGACCCGUUUUUUUGUUUGUUUUUUCUUUUUAGUGAAGAGGAGCAAGAAGCAUCACUUGGAUUAUUCCGGACCGUGUUGAACGAAUGGCUUUAGGUUUAUUGGUGAUCGGGGAUUUAUUUUUUUGUUCUUGGUGAAAUACUUGCGAAAGAAAAAAAAACUAAAUGGUGUAGAAAUGUGUUCGGUGAAGAAAAUAAAAAAGCCUCGUCGUUUUUAACUUACAGGCAGCUCGAGAUGAGAUAUGGGACAUUUCAUUCAGCCUGGAGAUUGGCUGCGUGGGAACGAAAAUGGCUACCGCUUUGAAUGAAAGAGUUAAUGACGGAGCUGUUAUCAGCGGGCUGCAGACCUGCUCAGAUCUGCGCUCUGAGCUGUCUGAUGGAGUGCGCCUCAGGAUGAAAAGAGCAGCUCUGACACCGCGGGCCCCCGGGUCACAGCGACUGCGCAGCUUCCCAGCCCUCCAAUUUAACACAUGAAAAUAUUAAUAUUAUUAAUGAUAAUUUAUUUUCAAUGAAAACAAUUUAAAGUAAACGGAAAAAUUUAGAUUUUUAAGAGGCCCCACAUAUUUUGGUGUUUGGUAUAACUCCUAAAUCUGCAAACUGGAGAGUGAUGCAUGCUGCAGUUCAUCACCCAUGCUGACUGUCACCAUUGGGUCAGCGUGCCAAGUCCCGGGAGGAUCCAUCCAAGUCGAUAUGACCAAUCAUAGCUUCUUAUCGUUGCUGUCAAGGUGGUUAUGUGUUUGACCCACAUGUCCGAGGGUGAUACAAAAAUAAAUCCAGGUUACCAUGUGCACACACACAUUGUGAUCAUAUCUAUUUUCUCCAGUUCCAAUAGCAUAUUCAUCCCUCUGCUUCUUCCUCCUCUUCCUCCACUCAAUAUUUCAGCCUCCCGACUCUCCCUUUUCGCAUUACACACAUGAGCGAGCUGGCACAAGGUUCUCCGCCCUCGUGUAACUCAGCCCCCAUCCUCCACCCAGCUUUAGCACCCCCCUCUCACCCAAUUGUUCUUUCAAAAUUCACAAAAUUA